ACUCAAUAGAUACCCAGGUAGUCCCAGCUGUAAACGAUGCAGACUCGGUGAUGAGUUGGCUAUAUGCCAUCUCAGUGCCGCAGGGAAGCCGUUAAGUUUGCCGCCUGGGGAGUACGGUCGCAAGACUGAAACUUAGAGGAAUUGGCGGGGGAGCACCACAAGGGGUGAAGCCUGCGGUUCAAUUGGAGUCAACGCCGGAAAUCUUACCGGGGGCGACAGCAGUGUGAAGGUCAAGCUGAAGACUUUACCAGACAAGCUGAGAGGAGGUGCAUGGCCGUCGCCAGCUCGUGCCGUGAGGUGUCCUGUUAAGUCAGGUAACGAGCGAGACCCCUGCCUCUAGUUGCUACCAUUAUUCUCAGGAGUAGUGGAGCUAAUUAGAGGGACUGCCGUCGCUGAGACGGAGGAAGGAGGGGGUCUACGGCAGGUCAGUAUG
rnacentral:rRNA from 1 species